rnacentral:rRNA from 1 species
UACAGAGGUCUCAAGCGUUGUUCGGAUUCAUUGGGCGUAAAGGGUGCGUAGGUGGCGCGCUAAGUCAGGUGUGAAAUUUCGGAGCUUAACUCCGAAACUGCAUUUGAUACUGUGGUGCUUGAGGACUGGAGAGGAGACUGGAAUUCACGGUGUAGCAGUGAAAUGCGUAGAUAUCGUGAGGAAGACCAGUGGCGAAGGCGGGUCUCUGGACAGUUCCUGACACUGAGGCAGCGAAGGCCAGGGGAGCAAACGGG